AGAUUGAACGCUGGCGGCAGGCCUAACACAUGCAAGUCGAGCGGCAGCACGGGUACUUGUACCUGGUGGCGAGCGGCGGACGGGUGAGUAAUGCCUAGGAAUCUGCCUGAUAGUGGGGGAUAACGCUCGGAAACGGACGCUAAUACCGCAUACGUCCUACGGGAGAAAGCAGGGGACCUUCGGGCCUUGCGCUAUCAGAUGAGCCUAGGUCGGAUUAGCUAGUUGGUGGGGUAAUGGCUCACCAAGGCGACGAUCCGUAAUUGGUCUGAGAGGAUGAUCAGUCACACUGGAACUGAGACACGGUCCAGACUCCUACGGGAGGCAGCAGUGGGAAUAGUUAGGACAAGUGGGACGAAAGCCUGAUCCAGCCAUGGACCGCGUGUGUGAAGUAAGGUCUUCGGAUUGGUAAAGCUAACGUUUUAAGUGGGAAGG
rnacentral:rRNA from 1 species